rnacentral:rRNA from 1 species
GAUGAACGCUAGCGGCAGGCUUAAUACAUGCAAGUCGAGGGACAGCACAGGUAGCAAUACUGGGUGGUAACCGGCAAACGGGUGCGGAACACGUACACAACCGUCCUUUAAGUGGGGGAUAGCCCAGAGAAAUUUGGAUCAAUACCCCGUAAGAUAGUUGAAUGGCAUCAUUUGAUUAUUAUAGCUACGGAGCUUAAUGUUGGGUGUGCGGCUGAUUAGAUAGUUGGCGGGGUAACGGCUCACCAAGUCUACGAUCAGUAGCUCAUGUGAGAGCAUGAUCAGCCACACGGGCACUGGGACACGGGCCCGACUCCUACGGGAGGCAGCAGGAAGGAAUAUUGGUCAAUGGACGCAAGUCUGAACCGGCCAUGCCGCGUGAAGGAUUAAGGUCCUCUGGAUUGUAAACUUCUUUUAUUUGGGACGAAAAAGGGCCUUUCUAGGUCAACUGACGGUACCAGAUGAAUAAGCACCGGCUAACUCCGUGCCAGCCGCCGCCGUAAGAC